CGCCAGCUCCACCACGUGAGCUCCCUGCCGCCGGGCCCCGCUCUCCGCCUGGCUGCUCGCAGAGAGGCGCGGAGUUGGGGCGGGCGCAGCCGGCCAGCAUCAGGUAGCAGCAGCGCUCGGCCCUCGCCUCCUGCCCUGGGGGCUGUCUAGGGCUAGGCACGGGGCAGACCCCCUCCCCCCUUCCCUCCCAGGACCAUGAGACGCUCCGCGGGGGCUGCCAGCCUUUUGCACGCUGCGGCGCUGCUGCUGCUGUUCGCCGCCUCCUGUCUCGCCGCGGUCGGGACUACAAGUACAUCCAUUCCAACCACAAUCGCACAAUCCACUUCAAAUACUUCAGCAUGUGGUAAAGAUGUCACUCUCACAACUAUUUCAGGUUCUACCAAAACAACCACCACCCAGACAACCACCACCCAGACAACCACCACCCAGACAACCACCACCCAGACAACUACAUCAGCCACCGUCUCAAAACCCACAACAACCAUACAAUCGACAGCCAGUGUCACAGUGACCACUUCCAAGACUAUGUCUCCUUCCAGCUCUGUAACAGCCACGCCAAAAUCUGCAGCUGUGCUAUCCAGAACCUCCAGAUUUGAUGUGGGCAGUUUUUUCGGUGGCAUUGUGCUGACACUUGGAAUGCUAGCCAUUCUCUAUGUUGGGUGUAAAACAUAUCACUCGAGAAGAGGUGUUCAGUACAGAACCAUGUAAGUUUUUUGGAGGCGUGUUCCCCUGUUAAUUUGUUGGUUUCUUGUUGGAAAUGAAGAGAAGAAAAUGCUCUACUUUCUUGUUCAAUGCAGAUUUUUUUUAAAAAGGCAGUGAUGAACAUGAUGCUAUCAUUUAAAGAUACUUCAGAGAAGACAGUGGGGAAAUUCCACCCGAUCACUGCUUUUAGAACGUCUAUUUGAAAAAGUUUUUUUCCUUUCAUAAAGAUAGUCCCAAUCUCUAAUGCAUCCAUAGAUCUGAUCCUGCACAGUGUCAAGAUCUUCCCAAGCACCGUGAGCUCCCAUUUAUUGCAAUGGGAGCUGGAGGAAGUUAGCACUUUGCAGAAACAUGCCCUGUUGUUGAUGCAAUUAAAAAAAAAUCUUUAACGUUCAUUACCUAAUGAUGAACUGAAAUGCUUUUUAAAAUAAAUGCAUACAAACUUUGAGAUACCAAAUCAUUACCAUAACAUACCAUGUGACAUUAAAAUUGUGAAUACAUUGGAUUAUUGCCUACAUACUCCAUAAAUGCGGGUGGCUCUACUUCAGGUACAACAGGCUGAAAAAAUACUAGUCGCAGUUAAGGAAAAAUGCAAUAGGCUUGGCAGGUUAACUACAAGAGGACGUGACUUUGCUACUAUUUUGUAUUAAAAUGUAUUUAUUUGUAACUUGAAACUUGGGGUGAACUUUUGUUAAUGAUUUGGGAACCUCAGACUUUGUUUUUUAACAAAAAUAUUUCAGUUCAGUGCUGAUGCUAGUAAAGGGAUGUGAGAUUAUUCCAAUUUAUCAAAUUACGAUUCAUAAUGUUGUAAACUAUCCAGAACAGGAUGAUAGAAAACGUACUUAAAAUAUAGUCUACCGAUGAUCAGUGAUCUGUGGACAUAUUCCCAGAGACUACUCGUAACUGUUGAUAGUGGGGGGACACAAUGUAAAGGUUCUGGUGGUAUGCAGCGGGGUUCAGAGCAGAGCAUAUAAAUCCUGGCAGAAAUCUGAAGGGGCAUGUGACCCUGUGUGCUCCUUCCACCACAUUACCUCUGGGUCUGCAGAAUAAAAUAUAGUGAGAAUCAAGCUGUGGGGAACUGGGAGGGGGAGGAGAUACAGUCCAUGACAGUACUUCUCUCUUAUGAAGUGGUCUACAAGUUGAAAUGGGCUAGAUGAUCAUUAUAAUAUACAGGUUUUAUUUAGAAUUAAAUUAGUGAUUCAUAUCCAGCAAGUCACAAUGGUAUAAUUGAGAUAAAAUUGUAUUUUUUUUUAAAAAAGGCUUGUCUCCUACUAUGAAUAUGAAGAUUUCCACUGAAAAUUAUUCUAGCUUGAAUGUAAUUUAAAAUCCCUGCUUUGUUUUAUUCGGAAGCUUUAUACAGGAUUUCUAGUAGGAUUUUAGGAAGAGUUGGGAGUAACUCUCCAAAUACGAGUGGUAAAAUAUAAUAUGUAGGAUAGCAUUUAAAAUAUAUAUCUAUGCCCUACAUUCUUAAAAUUGUUUGCAGGACCUGGUGCUGCUGUACUUACACAUUAUGAUCUAGUCCGGGGUGGCCAACCUGUGGCUCCGGAGCCACAUGUGGCUCUUCAGAAGUUAAUAUGCGGCUCCUUGUAUAGGCACCGACUCUGAGGCUGUAGCUACAGCUGCCAGCUUUCCAGUGUGCCGGGGGGUACUCACUGCUCAACCCCUGGCUUUGCCACAAGUCCUGCCCCCACUCCACCCCUUCCUGCCGCCUCCCCUCAGCCUACCGUGCCCUCGCUCCUUGCCCCCAGAGCCUCCUGCAUACCACGAAACAGCUGAUUGGGAGGUGCGAGGAGGGAGGUGCUGAUCGGUGGGGCUGCCGGAGGGUGAGAGGCGCUGGGAACGGGGGUGGGGGAGCCUAUGGGGGGCUGCUGACAUAUUAUUGUGGCUCUUUGGCAAUGUACAUUGAUAAAUUCUGGCUCCUUCUCAGGCUCAGGUUGGCCACCCCUGAUCUAGUCCAAAGUCCAUUGAAGUCAAUGAAAAGACUCCCAUUGGGUGAUAUCAACAGACUUUGAAUCAGAUCUUUAUUUCAUAGGGAGUCAUAAAUAAGGGGCCUGACACUGAUUUGUAAUUCCCUUCCCAUUUACACUGGUAUAAUUGUAUUGACCUCAGUGGAUAUAAUCCUGAUUUACACUGAUAUAAGAAGAUUCGUGUGAGGCUCAAAGACUGCAAAUUUGGAUAUUUAGAAUAUUUCAGCAGCAGUCAGCUAAUGUUCAAUCCCAAUCAGUUUCCCUUUGCAGCUGGCCCUGUAUGGAAAAGUGCCUCUGAUGGAGAGCUGCUUUGGUGGUUACUACUAAUGAUAAUUCACCAUCCAAGACACAACCACGUAGGUAUUAGACAGCUAUUGGAAAGUUUGCCCAGGGGCAUUUUUGCAUGCAAGGUGGCCAUUAGUGUAUGAUGCAGCACUUUGGUAGAAACAGGUCUUAUACCAGUUACUAUUUUGUUUAGAAAUGUUUCACUCUUUUAAGUCUUGCACUUUCACAGGAUUUUAUUUAAAAAAAAAAAAAAAAAAAUCUGUCCUAAAUACAAAAUUCUUUCUGUAUAUGAUAAGAUCUAGGCCUGCAAACCUUUCCUGCUGUGGGCAGUCCUUACUCAUGCACUCCCUUUGCAAUCAGUAGAGUUACUUGUUUGCGUACUCCCAGGAGGAAGGGUUUGCAGGGCUAUGCCAUUAAAACUUUUUUUUUCUCUUGUUUAAAAAAAAAUUUAAGUAUUUUAAGUGAUUAUUAAUUUCACUGUUUUGGGGGAGAACCUUGCCUUUUUCUUUUUAUAUGUGUAUAUAUAAAGACUAUAGCUAAACUUUACCAGUUUGCAAAUUAUUGUUCUACAGAAUUUUUUUUGUAGUUACCCAGAGUUUUACUGUAUUAAGUGCUACUCAGUAGAGUUACUGAGAUCCUCUGACCUCUGUUGUGCAGAUAAAUAUUAAAAUGAAAUGUUUGCCUUUAUUACCAGAA